UACGGAGGGGGCUAGCGUUGUUCGGAAUUACUGGGCGUAAAGCGCACGUAGGCGGACCAGCAAGUUGGGGGUGAAAUCCCGGGGCUCAACCCCGGAACUGCCUUCAAAACUGUUGGUCUGGAGGUCGAGAGAGGUGAGUGGAAUUCCGAGUGUAGAGGUGAAAUUCGUAGAUAUUAGGAAGAACACCAGUGGCGAAGGCGGCUCACUGGCCCGGUACUGACGCUGAGGCGCGAAAGCGUGGGGAGCAAACAGG
rnacentral:rRNA from 1 species